AAAUUGAAGAGUUUGAUCAUGGCUCAGAUUGAACGCUGGCGGCAGGCCUAACACAUGCAAGUCGAACGGUAGCACAGAGAGCUUGCUCUCGGGUGACGAGUGGCGGACGGGUGAGUAAUGUCUGGGAAACUGCCUGAUGGAGGGGGAUAACUACUGGAAACGGUGGCUAAUACCGCAUAACGUCGCAAGACCAAAGAGGGGGACCUUCGGGCCUCUUGCCAUCAGAUGUGCCCAGAUGGGAUUAGCUUGUUGGUGAGGUAACGGCUCACCAAGGCGACGAUCCCUAGCUGGUCUGAGAGGAUGACCAGCCACACUGGAACUGAGACACGGUCCAGACUCCUACGGGAGGCAGCAGUGGGGAAUAUUGCACAAUGGGCGCAAGCCUGAUGCAGCCAUGCCGCGUGUAUGAAGAAGGCCUUCGGGUUGUAAAGUACUUUCAGCGGGGAGGAAGGUGUUGUGGUUAAUAACCGCAGCAAUUGACGUUACCCGCAGAAGAAGCACCGGCUAACUCCGUGCCAGCAGCCGCGGUAAUACGGAGGGUGCAAGCGUUAAUCGGAAUUACUGGGCGUAAAGCGCACGCAGGCGGUCUGUCAAGUCGGAUGUGAAAUCCCCGGGCUCAACCUGGGAACUGCAUUCGAAACUGGCAGGCUUGAGUCUUGUAGAGGGGGGUAGAAUUCCAGGUGUAGCGGUGAAAUGCGUAGAGAUCUGGAGGAAUACCGGUGGCGAAGGCGGCCCCCUGGACAAAGACUGACGCUCAGGUGCGAAAGCGUGGGGAGCAAACAGGAUUAGAUACCCUGGUAGUCCACGCCGUAAACGAUGUCUACUUGGAGGUUGUGCCCUUGAGGCGUGGCUUCCGGAGCUAACGCGUUAAGUAGACCGCCUGGGGAGUACGGCCGCAAGGUUAAAACUCAAAUGAAUUGACGGGGGCCCGCACAAGCGGUGGAGCAUGUGGUUUAAUUCGAUGCAACGCGAAGAACCUUACCUGGUCUUGACAUCCACAGAACUUUCCAGAGAUGGAUUGGUGCCUUCGGGAACUGUGAGACAGGUGCUGCAUGGCUGUCGUCAGCUCGUGUUGUGAAAUGUUGGGUUAAGUCCCGCAACGAGCGCAACCCUUAUCCUUUGUUGCCAGCGGUUAGGCCGGGAACUCAAAGGAGACUGCCAGUGAUAAACUGGAGGAAGGUGGGGAUGACGUCAAGUCAUCAUGGCCCUUACGACCAGGGCUACACACGUGCUACAAUGGCGCAUACAAAGAGAAGCGACCUCGCGAGAGCAAGCGGACCUCAUAAAGUGCGUCGUAGUCCGGAUUGGAGUCUGCAACUCGACUCCAUGAAGUCGGAAUCGCUAGUAAUCGUGGAUCAGAAUGCCACGGUGAAUACGUUCCCGGGCCUUGUACACACCGCCCGUCACACCAUGGGAGUGGGUUGCAAAAGAAGUAGGUAGCUUAACCUUCGGGAGGGCGCUUACCACUUUGUGAUUCAUGACUGGGGUGAAGUCGUAACAAGGUAACCGUAGGGGAACCUGCGGUUGGAUCACCUCCUUA
rnacentral:rRNA from 1 species